UACCCGCAGCACAAGUGGUGGUCAUUAUUAUUGGGCCUAAAGCGUCCGUAGCUGGCCUGUUAGAUGCCUGGGUAAAUCGAUGCGCUUAACGCAUCGAAUUCCGGGUAGACCGGCAGGCUCGAGACCGGGAGAGGUGUAGGGUACUCGGGGGGUAGGGGUAAAAUCCUGUAAUCCUCCGGGGACGACCAGUGGCGAAGGCGCUACACUAGAACGGCUCUGACAGUGAGGGACGAAGCCCUGGGGCGCAAACCGG
rnacentral:rRNA from 1 species